GUUAUGUAUUGAACGUUCCUGUCCAUAUACACAUGUUCAUAACAAAUCAUUGUUUAUGCUUAGUCAAGGUGGUACUUAUUAGAAAAAGAAAGGAGAGAUUGAAGCCUAUCAUGAUAUAGAUGAGGUACAACAAUUAUUCAUAUAGCCUCAAUAAUUCAAACUUUUAUGUAUUAUUGAUUAGCAUAUUCAUUGUAAACGCGUAAAGAUUUCACUACUAGAAAAUUGGGUUGUUUGACAUUUCCUACUCCGAUUUAGAGUUUUCCGCCAGUAGUUAGCCAGUAAAUUGUCGCUAAAGUAGGGUUUUCUUACGCGUUGGAAUCUCUUCUAGAAAUCAUAAUCAUCAUAGUAAAUCCCACCAAUAGCAAAGCUAAGGUAGGUUCUGAGGAAGGUAAGAUGUAGACAGCCUUACCUCUACCCUGUAGGAAUAGAGAAAUUGCUUCCAGUGAGACCCUCGGCUCGAUAGUAGAUAAGGCACAUAACACUCAGCAAUUAAGACAAAGGGAAGGUUGUCUAGUAGUGUUUUAUAUGUUUUAGAUGUUUUAUAAAUGUGAAAUAUGAAAAGGGAAGAGGAGAUGGAUCUCACAUUGAUGGAAGAUGGUAAAAAGAAGUCAUGAUCAUCUUGGAGAUCCGGUACGGUUUGUGGUUGUGGAGCAUCCACAUCCGAAAUGUAAAGUGGACCCUUAUUGACCCAUGACUUCAUGAUCUUCUCAUAGUCAAGCUUCAACACCAAUUUGUUCCUAAGCGGAUUACGAUUAUUAUUAUUACUAUUACUAUUACUAUUUUGACGACGACAGGAAGCUGUUGUCGUAGAAGACGACGAAGAUAUCUCUCUAACCGCCUUCUUCCUAUCCACAACCUCCGAAUAACAAACCCAUUUUUCCUGAUCAUGAACUUUGUCCGUCUUAUUCCUCCUCAUCGCGGUUCGAACAAGCUCCACCUCCUCGUCGGCUACCGACGAGGGAGAUGGAACAUUGUUCGUGUCAUGACCGUUGUCCUCUUUUUCAUCUUUGGCUUCGGUGCAUAGGAUUCCGGUUAGAGUUGUAGCGGCUCCAUCUACAUCGUCACACGAUGAGAACAUGCGAGCCAUGAUGGGUUCUUCGUCUAGUUUAUCUUGUUCCACUAGAUUCUCGGGGUGUAGUGGAAAAAGAUUAAGUUGUUGUUGUUUAUGAUCAUGGUGGUUAGUAGGGGGCAUUGGUGGUGGUGUGUGCUUUUGGAUGGAUUGAGGAAAGGGGUGGGAUGAGGUGAUUGGGUAUUUGGGAGAUUUCGUUUGGAUCCUAUAGAUAAGAGUGGAUGCUUGCUUGCACGUGAUAAUGGUGAUACUUUUAUUAGAAAUAAAUUGUUGGACUUUAAUGAAUAAGUGAUGACACUUAACACUUUUGGAAAUAUAAACCGAUAAAUAAUUCACUUAUAAGAGUUAAAUUAUUUUUGAAUGAAAAAAAUAUUAUUUUUUGUUAAUAUUUAAUGAAUUUAAGGAAAAAUUUUAAGAAACUUAGUUACUAUUGUUGAUUACAAUCAACUUUAGUAUUAUCAUAUACAAUAUAAAUCAGGAUAUUUUUGUCUUUUUUUAAUCACCGUAUA
rnacentral:lncRNA from 1 species